CUUCGUCUCCACCAUUUAAUCUGGGCAAAAGGUGACAAUUUUACAAAAGUUUAUGAUAAUUAAUAAAUUAAUAUUGAAUUUAUAAAUUGAAACAUAUCUUCACAAACGGAUUCAUCACCUUGUAACGAAACGAAUGGAAAAAUCCUAGGACUGGAUUCCAAAUAACCGUCCCUAAUUUCUACCAAUGGCUCUCUUCGCUCUUCCUUUACCUUUGUUCCAGGAAUCGUUAACUGACAAACAAUAAUCCUAUUCGCAUUGGUGUUGUCGGAUCUCAAAGGAAUAAUGGACCAAAGCUCCAUGAUAGUUAAUUGUUUAGAUAUUGUCAUAUGAUAUGUGUCCUUCUCCCAAAUCAAUGAUCUCUCUGACCCUUUAGUUAUGUCAUGUCUAAGGAUAUAAAGUUUAAUAUCUUA
rnacentral:lncRNA from 1 species